CCGUCACUAGCUCAUCCGGAUAGAGCAUCAGCCUUCGAAGUUGAUGGCGCGGGGUUCGAGUCUCCGGUGACGGUCCA
rnacentral:tRNA from 1 species